UAAUUUCACCAAGUCAACUCCAAAUCUUUCAAAUCCCAAUUUCACAUCCACCCUGAAUCAUUCUUCACAACCCGAAACACCACCACCCUCUGAUUCCAUCACCUCGUCACAACCCGAACCGCCACCACCGUCUGAUUCUCUUCAUCUCCGACUCGGAGCCACCAACCAACACUGCAACCAUCGUGUAACAAAAAACGACACCGUUUCGAUCAAUGGUUAAGGGUUUGCACAGCCAAAACCUCCCCGCCGAUGUAGCACAUGUCGUCGAUCAGCUAGAGCGCCACUGCUUGGCUCCCGAUGGAUCUCUCAUCUCCAAGCCUCUCUACAACGAUCUACAACUCGCUAGAGAGGAAAUGUGCAGGGAACGACUUCGAUAUCUCGAAGCCAUGAUAGGGAAAGUGAUGUGUAUACGUAAAGCUUCAAGGAAUGAUUCACUGACUGAGACUUCAACCAACCCUUCUGCUUUGACGGCUCAGGAACGGUACCUCUGGAAAGAUGUUGAUGAACUCAUUUCAUCUUCUGAUAAUGAAAUUGCAAGCCAGCUGUUUGUUCUUCAUGUUAUGAAGCCAUUGCUUGGUUCCAAGUUUGUUGAUGCUGGCGAUCAGAGUUCCAUACCCCUUUCAAUGGGGAGCACCUACAUUUGAUGCAGGCGAAGCGUUUGCCAUGAUGAUGGCAUCUUUUGUUGCUCUUGUAGAGUUCAGUGUCUACUGGAGCUUUCAUUGCCGUAUAUAGGCAUGCAAGUGCAACACCAUUACCGCCUUCUAUUCUUAGUCGAGGUAUCGGUUGGCAGGGAGUUGGCAUUUUGUUAUCAGGAUUGUUUGGAACAAUUACCGGAUCGUCCGUGUCUGUGUAAGAAUGAAAUUAUUCUGUUUGUAUUAUUUACUAAGAGCAAGCAAACACUAGUAGAAAUGAAAGUGAUUUAUUUUGUUUUCUAUACAGAGAAAAUGCAAGUCUUUUAAUCUCAAAUGACUGAGAUGAUAAUAUCACUGAAUGUCUCUAAAGCUUGAAUGUAGUUGAGAGCCGAAAAACACAGGCUGAGGAGCACUAUGUUGAGUACUGUGUUGUGAGCUGCAGAGCUUACAGUGCCUCAGUGACGGAGUUUGGAGCGGUUGACGAUGGACAAACUUCGAACACACGAGCCUUUCAGACGGUGGUAGAUCAUCUGAGUCAGUACUCGUCAUGCUUCAAUUGAAUAUACCGCUCUGGUAAUAUUUCAUCCUAUCUAAUUUCUUCAAACAUAGUAUCCUACUAUUGAAUUUCAUCCUAUCUAAUUUUUGGCCUUGAGACACAUGGCUUCCCAUGCUUCAAUUGAUUUCAGUUUUCGGUAUUAGGCUUAUGCACAGGCAGCACUGCUUUUUGGAAGGGCUCCAUCUAAGUAUCUUAAUAUUAAAACAUUCUUUUUAAAAAAAAUUUUUUAUGCUUUAUUGGAUGAAACAUUCUCCAUCUAAAUUUCUCUACGUGUUUGGUGAUUUUCCAGGCUCAUGUAUUCUCUGCAGGAACUGCAGGAUGUGCAACUUUUCUAGCAAACUAUCACGUACAGUCUUGUAAGGAUAUGAAAUAUUUUGACUUAGUUAAAAUAUGAUUUUUAUGUGUAUGAUUUUGUAGUAUUUGCAAUAUUAUGACUGAAAAUGAAAUAUAACUAAAUGGUGUAUAUGAAAUAGGGUGUAAAUAGAUUUAAAUAGGGUGUAAUUAUGAACAUAUCUAUACCCGAUUUUUAUAAAAACGGGGUGUAAUUAAGAACGUAGCUACACCCGAUUUUUAUUAAAACUGAGUGUAAUUAAGAACGUAA